rnacentral:rRNA from 1 species
GCUUAGUCGUAAACUUAAAUAGUCCUNGAACAAGACUAUUCGCCAGAGUACUAUCGGCAACAGCCCAAAACUCAAACGACUUGGCGGUGCUUCAUAUCCUUCUAGAGGAGCCUGUUCUGUAAACGAUAAACCUCGAUUAACCUCACCAAUCCUUGCUACUUCAGUCUAUAUACCGCCAUCUUCAGCAAACCCUAAAAAAGGAAUGAAAGUAAGCACAACUAUUGCACAUAAAAACGUUAGGUCAAGGUGUAACCUAUGGAUUGGGAAGAAAUGGGCUACAUUUUCUAUAAUAAGAACACCCCUUAAACUUACACGAAAGUUUUUAUGAAACCUAAAAACUAAAGGAGGAUUUAGCAGUAAAUUAAGAAUAGAAUGCUUAAUUGAAUAAGGNCAUGAAGCACGC